rnacentral:lncRNA from 1 species
GCUGCCUGAUCAAGGGCCUACGGGCUCUCACCCCGCUGUUUCCACUGCAGCCUGCCCUCCGCUCGCUCCCUCUCUCUCCUCCACUGCCACUCGCCUUUCUUAUUCCUCUUCUGCUCUGAUCCCUCCAUCUCUUCAUCUUCACUGACCCAGAGUGGGUAGCACAAGACGCUGCAGACUCCCUAGAAGGGCGGAAACCGAUCUGCAAAUGCUGGCCAUUCUGCUGCGCUGUCUCUGCUGGUCAGCUACAAGAUGAGUAUAUGCGCAAACUCUUAUAGAUGAAAGAUGAAGAAAGUGAAUUCAUUCUGCAUCAUGUUGGAGCAGCAGAAUUGGAGAUGGCAGUGCCCACUGACUCUGAGCUUGAUGUGGUGGGCGCCUCGCACACAGGGACUUGGGUUACGAGUGGACGUCCCCCCCGACCGGCCCGGCCCGCGCCGUCCCCCCGCAUGUGUGAAAGUUACCCUCGGAUUUACAUGGGCUUACUGUAAGGAGGAUCAAAGGAUUUCAUUUGGUUAAACUCCUUGCAGCAUUGUCUGCCUCCCAGGACCACAACAAAGUUCUUGCAGCGCGCCAGAUUCACGAGAACAAAGAAUUUGUAUUUUCUGGACUAAUUACACUUCAAACACUGAAGAUCCAGUGUGGCAAAGAUAAAAGUGGCAGUCGUGACCUGGAAGAUUAGCCAUAUGUUUGCAGCAGGCAUCUCAACACCCAAGGCACCACACCUCCACGAACACAAACGCUCACACCCAGCAUCGUGGCCUAGAAACGACAGUGACCCACCGCCGAGUUUGGGUGGGAGAAAAGCCCCGCUGCUCAUGAUACAAUAAACACAAUAAUACAAAUUUGUCCA